rnacentral:misc_RNA from 1 species
AACCUUAUGGACCUGCGGGCGUAUACCUGCGGAAGGAUCAUUAAAGAUUGGCCGAGAGGCCUUAUCUCUAUAUCCCACACCUCUGUGAACCGUUGACCCUCGGGUCUACCAUACAAACAUCAGUGUAAUGAACGUAAAUAACAUUAACAAAACAAAACUUUCAGCAAUGGAUCU